GCACUGCUGAGGAGUCCCACAAUAGGACGGCCGUCCCAUACUAGGACGAAACGGCCGUCCAGUGC
rfam:Schistosoma haematobium scaffold1716_15, whole genome shotgun sequence.